rnacentral:rRNA from 1 species
AUCGUAACUCCUACGGGAGGCAGCAGUGGGGAAUCUUCCGCAAUGGGCGAAAGCCUGAUGGAGCAACGCCGCGUGGGUGUAGAAGGUCUUCGGAUCGUAAAACCCUGUUGUCAGAGAAGAAAGUGCAUGAGAGUAACUGUUCAUGUUUCGACGGUAUCUGACCAGAAAGCCACGGCUAACUACGUGCCAGCAGCCGCGGUAAUACGUAGGUGGCAAGCGUUAUCCGGAUUUAUUGGGCGUAAAGGGAACGCAGGCGGUCUUUUAAGUCUGAUGUGAAAGCCUUCGGCUUAACCGGAGUAGUGCAUUGGAAACUGGGAGACUUGAGUGCAGAAGAGGAGAGUGGAACUCCAUGUGUAGCGGUGAAAUGCGUAGAUAUAUGGAAGAACACCAGUGGCGAAAGCGGCUCUCUGGUCUGUAACUGACGCUGAGGUUCGAAAGCGUGGGUAGCAAACAGGAUUAGAAACCCCGGUAGUCCUAGAGC